rnacentral:rRNA from 1 species
CCUACGGGAGGCAGCAGUGAGGAAUAUUGGUCAAUGGGCUUACGCCUGAACCAGCCAAGUCGCGUGAAGGAAGACUGCCCUAUGGGUUGUAAACCUCUUUUGUCAGGGAGCAACGCCGGCUACGUGUAGCCGGACUGAGAGUACCUGAAGAAAAAGCAUCGGCAAACUCGGUGCCAGCAGCGGCGGUAAUACGGGGGAUGGGAGGGUUAUCCGGAUUGAUUGGGUUUAAAGGGUGCGUAGGCGGAAUGCAAAGUCAGCGGUAAAAUCGGGGGGCUAAACCUCGCUGCGCCGUUGAAACUGGCAGUCUUGAGUGGGGGAGAGGUAGGCGGAAUGCGUGGUGUAGCGGUGAAAUGCUUAGAUAUCACGCAGAACCCCGAUUGCGAAGGCAGCCUGCCAAGCCAUGACUGACGCUGAUGCACGAAAGCGUGGGGAUCAAACAGGAUUAGAUACCCUAGUAGUC